rnacentral:rRNA from 3 species
GGUCAAGUGAAGAAGCGCAUACGGUGGAUGCCUUGGCAGUCAGAGGCGAUGAAAGACGUGGUAGCCUGCGAAAAGCUUCGGGGAGUCGGCAAACAGACUGUGAUCCGGAGAUGUCUGAAUGGGGGAACCCAGCCAUCAUAAGAUGGUUAUCUUACACUGAAUACAUAGGUGUAAGAGGCGAACCAGGGGAACUGAAACAUCUAAGUACCCUGAGGAAAAGAAAUCAACCGAGAUUCCCUUAGUAGUGGCGAGCGAACGGGGACCAGCCCUUAAGUUGUAUUGAGAUUAGCGGAACGCUCUGGAAAGUGCGGCCAUAGUGGGUGAUAGCCCUGUACGCGAAAAUCCCUUUGCAAUGAAAUCGAGUAGGACGGGGCACGAGAAACCUUGUCUGAAUAUGGGGGGACCAUCCUCCAAGGCUAAAUACUACUGACUGACCGAUAGUGAACCAGUACCGUGAGGGAAAGGCGAAAAGAACCGCGGAGAGCGGAGUGAAAUAGAUCCUGAAACCGUAUGCGUACAAGCAGUGGGAGCCCACUUUGUUGGGUGACUGCGUACCUUUUGUAUAAUGGGUCAGCGACUUAUUUUCAGUGGCGAGCUUAACCGAAUAGGGGAGGCGUAGCGAAAGCGAGUCUUAAUAGGGCGUCUAGUCGCUGGGAAUAGACCCGAAACCGGGCGAUCUAUCCAUGGGCAGGUUGAAGGUUGGGUAACACUAACUGGAGGACCGAACCGACUACCGUUGAAAAGUUAGCGGAUGACCUGUGGAUCGGAGUGAAAGGCUAAUCAAGCUCGGAGAUAGCUGGUUCUCCUCGAAAGCUAUUUAGGUAGCGCCUCAUGUAUCACUGUAGGGGGUAGAGCACUGUUUCGGCUAGGGGGUCAUCCCGACUUACCAAACCGAUGCAAACUCCGAAUACCUACAAGUGCCGAGCAUGGGAGACACACGGCGGGUGCUAACGUCCGUCGUGAAAAGGGAAACAACCCAGACCGUCAGCUAAGGUCCCAAAGUCAUGGUUAAGUGGGAAACGAUGUGGGAAGGCUUAGACAGCUAGGAGGUUGGCUUAGAAGCAGCCACCCUUUAAAGAAAGCGUAAUAGCUCACUAGUCGAGUCGGCCUGCGCGGAAGAUGUAACGGGGCUCAAACCAUGCACCGAAGCUACGGGUAUCACCUUUGGUGAUGCGGUAGAGGAGCGUUCUGUAAGCCUGUGAAGGUGAGUUGAGAAGCUUGCUGGAGGUAUCAGAAGUGCGAAUGCUGACAUGAGUAACGACAAUGGGUGUGAAAAACACCCACGCCGAAAGACCAAGGUUUCCUGCGCAACGUUAAUCGACGCAGGGUUAGUCGGUCCCUAAGGCGAGGCUGAAAAGCGUAGUCGAUGGAAAACAGGUUAAUAUUCCUGUACUUCUGGUUAUUGCGAUGGAGGGACGGAGAAGGCUAGGCCAGCCUGGCGUUGGUAGUCCAGGUUUAAGGUGGUAGGCUGAGAUCUUAGGUAAAUCCGGGAUCUUAAGGCCGAGAGCUGAUGACGAGUGUUCUUUUAGAACAUGAAGUGGUUGAUGCCAUGCUUCCAAGAAAAGCUUCUAAGCUUCAGGUAACCAGGAACCGUACCCCAAACCGACACAGGUGGUUGGGUAGAGAAUACCAAGGCGCUUGAGAGAACUCGGGUGAAGGAACUAGGCAAAAUGGCACCGUAACUUCGGGAGAAGGUGCGCCGGUGAGGGUGAAGCAUUUACUGCGUAAGCCCACGCCGGUCGAAGAUACCAGGCCGCUGCGACUGUUUAUUAAAAACACAGCACUCUGCAAACACGAAAGUGGACGUAUAGGGUGUGACGCCUGCCCGGUGCCGGAAGGUUAAUUGAUGGGGUUAGCGCAAGCGAAGCUCUUGAUCGAAGCCCCGGUAAACGGCGGCCGUAACUAUAACGGUCCUAAGGUAGCGAAAUUCCUUGUCGGGUAAGUUCCGACCUGCACGAAUGGCGUAACGAUGGCGGCGCUGUCUCCACCCGAGACUCAGUGAAAUUGAAAUCGCUGUGAAGAUGCAGUGUAUCCGCGGCUAGACGGAAAGACCCCGUGAACCUUUACUAUAGCUUUGCACUGGACUUUGAAUUUGCUUGUGUAGGAUAGGUGGGAGGCUUUGAAGCGUGGACGCCAGUCUGCGUGGAGCCAACCUUGAAAUACCACCCUGGCAACUUUGAGGUUCUAACUCAGGUCCGUUAUCCGGAUCGAGGACAGUGUAUGGUGGGUAGUUUGACUGGGGCGGUCUCCUCCUAAAGAGUAACGGAGGAGUACGAAGGUGCGCUCAGACCGGUCGGAAAUCGGUCGUAGAGUAUAAAGGCAAAAGCGCGCUUGACUGCGAGACAGACACGUCGAGCAGGUACGAAAGUAGGUCUUAGUGAUCCGGUGGUUCUGUAUGGAAGGGCCAUCGCUCAACGGAUAAAAGGUACUCCGGGGAUAACAGGCUGAUACCGCCCAAGAGUUCAUAUCGACGGCGGUGUUUGGCACCUCGAUGUCGGCUCAUCACAUCCUGGGGCUGAAGCCGGUCCCAAGGGUAUGGCUGUUCGCCAUUUAAAGUGGUACGCGAGCUGGGUUUAGAACGUCGUGAGACAGUUCGGUCCCUAUCUGCCGUGGACGUUUGAGAUUUGAGAGGGGCUGCUCCUAGUACGAGAGGACCGGAGUGGACGAACCUCUGGUGUUCCGGUUGUCACGCCAGUGGCAUUGCCGGGUAGCUAUGUUCGGAAAAGAUAACCGCUGAAAGCAUCUAAGCGGGAAACUUGCCUCAAGAUGAGAUCUCACUGGAACCUUGAGUUCCCUGAAGGGCCGUCGAAGACUACGACGUUGAUAGGUUGGGUGUGUAAGCGCUGUGAGGCGUUGAGCUAACCAAUACUAAUUGCCCGUGAGGCUUGACCAU